rnacentral:misc_RNA from 1 species
AACAACACUAACGGAAACAUCAACGUGAAAGCGAGACGGACGCCCUCCGUCCCGUUAUAUGCUGUGUCUGUCUGUCUUUAAUAUAUAUAGUUGAAAAAAAUAUAUCAAAUAAAAAACAAGUGCAAGAAAAGAGAAAAGCGCCCAAUGCGGCCAAUGGAAAUGCCAAAGAAAAUGCAGCAGCUACAAAUUCGACAACAAAUGCAAAUUCUACAACAACAACAGCAGAAGAAGCAGCAGCAACAACAUCAACUGCAAUUUCCCAACACAUAAGUCCACCGAAUUUUCCGUCUUUGUCGCGCGCGCUCACACACAUACACACUCAACUUGCACACACACACACACACGGAGACACAUGCAUGUGCAUAAAUGGCAAUAUGGACGAACAGCAGCAGCAUUUGCGUUGUAUACCAACACAGUGACACGCGCGUGCCAAAUAUUGCCGAUUUUAUCACACAAGCAACAACAACAUCAGCGGGACCAGCUAUUAACUAAAGGAGCCAUUACAACAACAAAAACGGGAUCCAGCAAAGUAACAGCAACUGCAAUAGCAAGUACAACGAGAGCAACGAACAUUGCUGGAAGGCGUCGCAAAAUAUCAAAAUGUCAAUUCAGAAGCUAAACGACACCACCAACUCGGGCUACGUGAGUUCCGAGGAGACGGACUCGCUGCUGGUGAGCAGCUCGAAUCCAACGAAGGGCGGCGGUCGGACGGCUCUGCUCCGCCAGGUGAAGAGUAGCUCCACAAAUGGGCCAACGACGGGGGCGUCCACCUCAUCCUCGGGAUCGGUAUCGGUGUCGGUAUCGGGCGGGGGCGGUGGAUCCGGUUCCGGUGGCGGCUCAGCAUCAGGCUCAGCAGCCGGGGCUUCCAAGCCAACGCUAAUGCGUCAGGAUCGUACUUCCACCUACCUGACCAGUCCGCAGCAGUCGCAGCACGCGAGGAUGGGUUCCGAGGAGAGUAUGCGCGGUGGCAGCGGUGCCGCCGGCAAUGACGAGGAUGUGGAACAGGGCCUGGUCCGCAGCAGCAUAGUGCCUGAUAUCGAAGUACACGAAGAGGACCAAGAACAACAUAGCCAACAGGCAACGAUGACCAAUAAUCAAUUGCAACAGCAGCAGCAGCAACAGCAACAGCAACAGCAACCGACCAUAUCAAUUAUGAAUUUAAGCCUCAAGCCCGGCGAUAGCCACAGCCACAGCCAUAGCCACAGCUCCAGUCCGGGCAGUCAUCCGAAUUUGGGCACCUCAUCAUAUCAAAAUCUGGCCUCGAGCAUACCGCCCAGCGUGCCAAGUCGCUGCCGGGCGUGCCGCAAUUGCAGCCGACGUGCUUCCACCACGCCCACCACGCUGAUCGAUCGCUCCGCCUCCCGCGACAGUGUGAAAAGUGCCUUCCAGCAGGGCAAUCUCAGCGGCUCCAUGGCCAUUUGCAUAUCAAACUCGGCCCUGCCCCAGCAGCAGCAGCAGCAACAGUAUCACCUGCAACAGCAGCAGCAGCACUAUCAGUUGCAGCAACACCACCUGCAUCAGCAGCAUCUGCAGCAGCAACAGCAGCAGCAGCAGGUGCCACCUGUGCUAAUCACAUCAUCGCCAACGAACGGAUCACGGAUAAUACGGCAAAGCUCACAGCCGGAAUCGAGCAGUACGGCCAUUUGCUGUGGCCCCCAUUCCGCCUGCGUCGGCCACGCCCACUCGCACUCGCAUACGGUGCCGAAUGUCUCGCUGAAGCAACUGCGUGAGAGCUCCGGCGAUGGAAUCGCUGGCAUUGCAGCCGACUCCCUGCGGAUCAAUGGGGGCAUGCGGCCUUUCAAGCAGGGCGUUCUUCUAAUGCCUCGCACCUUGUCCGAAAGCCGAAAGUUGCGCCUUCGAAGGGCCUUCACCGAGGCCACUAACGAAACACUUCAAUGCUCCAAAAUGCUCCGCAAACCGGCGUCGACACUCUCAAUUCCUGGCUCGAUGAAAACACCUUCCAUUGCGAACCGGGAACAGAUCUCAUCUGGAUGCAACGAAGAAGCGGCCGAGGCACUAGUGGGUAUCCACUCAGACUACCCUAGGUAUAUGGAAGAACGUGCUCUUACUGGCGGCAAUACGUCCAGGAAGCCAUCAACAAACUCGGCCAAACACAAACCCAAUGUGGGCUAUCGCCUGGGAAAGAGGAAAGCCCUCUUCGAGAAGCGCAAACGGAUCAGCGAUUACGCCCUGGUCAUGGGCAUGUUCGGGAUCAUCGUGAUGGUUAUCGAAAACGAACUGAGCAGUGCCGGUGUCUACACAAAGGCAUCGUUCUACUCGACAGCGUUAAAAACCUUAAUAUCUGUUUCGACUGUGAUUCUUUUAGGACUUAUAGUAGCUUACCAUGCUUUGGAAGUGCAGGUGAGAUUAUUCAUGAUAGAUAACUGCGCUGACGAUUGGAGGAUCGCAAUGACAUGGCAACGAAUUAGUCAAAUAGGGUUAGAACUUUUUAUAUGCGCUAUACAUCCAAUUCCUGGCGAAUACUAUUUCCAGUGGACGACGAAAUUGGCCAAUAAGAAUAAAACAAUUGGCACCGAAAUGGUGCCAUAUGACGUAGCUUUAUCAUUACCUAUGUUCCUUCGAUUAUAUUUAAUCUGCCGCGUAAUGCUGCUGCAUUCAAAGCUAUUCACAGAUGCAUCAUCACGGAGCAUUGGCGCUCUCAAUAGGAUUAAUUUUAACACAAGAUUCGUUUUAAAAACUCUAAUGACAAUAUGCCCGGGAACGGUUCUAUUGGUUUUCAUGGUCUCGCUGUGGAUCAUCGCAUCCUGGACGCUGCGUCAAUGCGAAAGGGCGCCGGCUGUACGGCUCUACUGGUGGCCGUUGUCUCCCGGAAACUGGAGCUGACCCGUGCCGAGAAGCAUGUGCACAACUUCAUGAUGGACACGCAGUUGACCAAACGGCUGAAAAAUGCUGCGGCGAAUGUUCUGCGUGAAACUUGGCUCAUUUACAAACAUACAAGACUAGUAAAACGGGUUAAUCCCGGCCGUGUAAGA